GGAAUGCUCCGAAAAGUGUGAAGGUAUCAAAAUACCGCUUUGGGGUUUCUUUUCUUAAAAACUCAAAAAAAUGUAUUUUGCAUGAUAUAUGCCCUUAAAUACAAAUGCAAAGUCUUUUUUCCCUCCCCUGGUAAAACUGCUAUGCAAUUGCCUGGCUUGAGUAUAGAAGGCACUGCUUCCGGGAGUGCAUCUUUAUACCCAUGAUGCUCCAGGAGCAGGACCAGUCAGACCUGUAGCCCCCUCUCCCCCCUCCAACAGCGGCAGGAGUAAAGGCUUUAUGCAAAUGUUGGAUCAAAUGCCAGAUAACGAGAGACGACAUGUUGUGUGCAUUUUAUGAAGGGAAAUGCAACACCCGUCUAAAUUCAAACCUAAUCAGAAAACUCCAACAGAACGUGACACAGAAAAAAAGGAUUUUUAAAAUAGAUGUGACGGCGUAUGCUGCCAUCACACUCCCACUGAGUGCCGUUUGUGAGAGUCAAACUCCAGAGAGGGAGAGGAUUAGAUGAACGGACCUGCCAGCAGCGCUGACCUCAACCCCAGCUGGGCUGUGCUGUUCACACCACUGACCAACAGCAACCAGGAUGUGACAAAUGCUGGUUGAAAUGCUGGGAUGACACCUACAGCUGUGUGCAACGAGGCAGGUGACCGGCAUGAGGGAAGAUGCCAGGCUAGUGUGCCUAUGUAAGCUUCUUUCACAGGCUACUGAGGUUCCCACUAGUCAAAUAAAUUAUAUUUUUUAAA